rnacentral:rRNA from 1 species
GCUUACGGUCACACUACCUUGAGAACGCCAGAUCUCGUCUGAUCUCGGAAGCUAAGCAGGGUCGGGCCUGGUUAGUA